AAAGGAAUAGACGGGGGCCCGCACAAGCGGAGGAACAUGUGGUUUAAUUCGAUGAUACGCGAGGAACCUUACCUGGGCUUAAAUGGAUAGUGACAGUUUUGGAAACAGAAUUUUCUUCGGACACUUUCCAAGGUGCUGCAUGGUUGUCGUCAGCUCGUGCCGUGAGGUGUCGGGUUAAGUCCCAUAACGAGCGCAACCCUUGUCGAUAGUUGCCAGCAUGUAAUGAUGGGGACUCUAUCGAGACUGCCGGUGUAAACCGUGAGGAAGGUGGGGAUGACGUCAAAUCAGCACGGCCCUUACGUCCAGGGCUACACACGUGUUACAAUGGUCGGUACAAUGGGCAGCUACUCAGCGAUGAGAUGCUAAUCUUCAAAACCGAUCUCAGUUCGGAUCGGAGUCUGAAACUCGACUCCGUGAAGCUGGAUUCGCUAGUAAUCGCACAUCAGCUAUGGUGCGGUGAAUACGUUCCCGGGCCUUGUACACACCGCCCGU
rnacentral:rRNA from 1 species